UGGGGAAUCUUGGACAAUGGGGGCAACCCUGAUCCAGCGAUGCCGCGUGAGCGAAGAAGGCCUUAGGGUUGUAAAGCUCUUUCGCCCGCGACGAUGAUGACGGUAGCGGGAGAAGAAGCCCCGGCUAACUCCGUGCCAGCAGCCGCGGUAAUACGGAGGGGGCUAGCGUUGUCCGGAAUUACUGGGCGUAAAGCGCGCGUAGGCGGUCCACCAAGUCGGGGGUGAAAGCCCGGGGCUCAACCCCGGAAUGUCCUCCGAGACUGUUGGACUGGAGUUCGGGAGAGGAGAGCGGAAUUCCGAGUGUAGAGGUGAAAUUCGUAGAUAUUGGGAAGAACACCGGUGGCGAAGGCGGCUCUCUGGCCCGCAACUGACGCUGAGGCGCGAAAGCGUGGGGAGCAAACA
rnacentral:rRNA from 1 species